GUGCUUAGAAAAAUUCCCUCUCAGUUCUCUCUCUCUCUCAGCCAGAUAUGAAGAUGAUAAACGAUUGAAUCUCUCCCGCCAUUGAAUCCGGAGGAAGUUAGGAUUGAAGUUGCUGGAUUUGGAUUUGGAGGAAUUCUAUCGCUUGCAGGCCAACAGAUUUAAGAAAAUUGUUGUGACACAAAGCUGCAGAGAAGCUCUUCAGAAUGUCAAUCUGUCCAAAAAACGUUACACAGAUGUCAUCCCAUGUAUCGUGUUGCCCACUCCAGUUUUUCUGUCCAGAAGUUGAAACUGAUUCACCAGCCACAAAGAAACAAAUGCCUUUUACUUGCUAUGUUCCUUUUUGUAAGGAGCACAUGAUUAAUAUAUAUGUAUUUUAUCAUUGAUUUUUAGUUGAUGAAAACAGGGUUGUGCUCAAGUCAUCCAAGGUUACCAGAUCAUCGGUUUGGGAUUAUAUCAAUGCAAGCUUUGUCGAGUUAUAUGAAAGUCAUUUAAACUAAUAAGGCUUAGUUGAAUCAGUCAGGUUAUUGACUAGGAGCUACCCAUUGCCUCACAAGAAGAGAUCCGUUUCAUGAUUAAUCCAGAGGUAAUUAUUGGCAUACUCUUCUUGCUUUGUAUGGAUGCCAAUGAAGCUAUUGAAAUUGUUGGCAUGGAGAGAUUUUCAAAUUACACAGGAUGAGAGAGAUUCACUUUGUUGGAUUCCUAAGCAAACUUCUGGAAACCAAAAUCUUGCAAGUUCUCCGCUUCAAGCAUGGACAGAUUUACUCAGUGGGUAUUUCUGUAUUUCUUGGUGGUAACAAGCCUUCAAGAACUGGGGAUGUGCGUGGUUAUAUCAGUGUUAACUUAUCUUGUGAUCCUGACAUCUCAUUGAAACUGGUUGACCUCGUUUUGGAGGAAAUAUUGCGUCUUAAAGAUGUUCUGACUAUCCUUGAAAUCGAGUAGUUUGCCCAUGAAAACGCGUUGCUGGAAAAUUACUACUGGCUGGAUAGGAUUCUUCGAAGCUACCAAUCGCGAGUCUAUUUUUGUGAUCUUGGUGUUUCUUUCAAGACUCAAGAUGAUGGACGAGAUGAAGUCAGAGGAUCUUUAAAACCAUUAACAGCACAAUUAUCUUUACAAUGCAUACUGCCUUUCCCCUGCAGAAAGCAGUCAAUGUAGUGAUUCUAAACCCCAAGCCUCACGCUUAAGGCUGCUGAAAUCUCUAUACCGGUCUACAAUAAAUAAGUGUAGUACAAACACAAAGGCCGAGUUCACUCAGUCGUAAGCAGUUCUUGAAUCUACAUGUAAGUCUUGUAUACUAUUUUGGCUGCAGUUUGUAUAUAUUUAAGGCCCGUGAGAAUAAAUCUUGGUGUGCUCUACUAUGAGAUAGAUUUGUACGAAUGUUCGAGAAAAUGUAGUCACAAGAGCGAUAAACGCCGUUUCUUUAUUUAGUUUCUUUCCCUUUCUUUUGUAAUUGUACUUGAUGUUUAAAAAUGUAUCACUGAACAUAUCAAUAUUAAUAUUAUUGGUGAAGAAUUUGAUUGA